GUCAUUGCUUUGAUUUUUGGCCGAGCGCGAAUUUUUAUUAUAGUAUAACUACAAUACUACUAUUAACAUUACUAUUAGAUAGUACAUAUGAGAUCAGGAUUGCUUAUUGCACUAACCCGUUCAUAAUUUAGCAUCAAAUAUAAUGGGCUUAGUUUAACAGUACCACUACCAGUCAUAUUCAUAUAGGUAGUAAUACCAAUGGUACUUAAAAGUUAAAGUUAAGAUAAGUAAAUUAAGAGUAAAGCACUUACUACUAGUAGUAGUAUUAUGUUGAUAAGAUUAAUUAUAUCCUGUUACUGAUUGAUGGUUUUAAAGUUUAAUAGGGACCAAAAUUGGAAGAGACAGCAGAAAUGUCAAGUGUGGUUUGAUCAACAAGUGGUCCCAAACUAAAGAAACAGGUUGUUCUGCAGUGAAAAGCUUUGAAAUAAAUAUUUACCAAUGCAUUAUGUGGUAGUUUGAGUCAUUAAGAAUUUUAGUGUCUUACUAGCAAUAGCUAGUGGGUUAACCAUAGCUCAGUAGCUAAAUCACUUGGAUUUGAUACUAACAGUAAAAAUAGUACUACUGAAACUGCAUUAGUAAAAACAAAAAGGAAUAAUAGAGAUGCACUAAAAAUGUAACAUUCUGGACUUUCACCAGAUUUUUAUGCUUUCCAUGUACUUUAUAUCUGAAACAUUGAGAUUACUACUAUUUUAUAGUGUGAAUUUGUUUAAUAUAUUUCUUUCACACUGUAUUGUGUUGAAAAGUCUCAUUGCUAGGGUGUGUAAUACAUGUACAUAGUUUACACUUAAAUGAACAGUUACAUAAAAAAGUAAAUAAAGGUCCAAUUGAUAAAUUUGUGAUAGAUUGGUAACAGCGGAGAUAUAAUUUCCAUUUUUCAUGUUGUUGUUAGCAAAAAACAUUUGUUUCAUGUGUUUUCAUUUUGUGUCUUUUGGAUUUUUCAACUUUACCAAGCUAUCACUAAUGUUGUCAUCAAUGAAAUUUAACAUAUUUUAACUCUGCAGAAUGGAGGCAAGUGUAUUGUUAUUGGACACCGUUGGAGGACGUUUUUGUGUGUCUACAAAAUUUCAUGGUGUAUUUUCAUUCAUUCUUUUUUUUUUUUAGAUUCCUUGCCACUAUUAAGAGAGAGUAUCCAUGGAGUUGAAGAUUUAUAUGAUUCAAGAAGAACAUUAUAUUUUGAAUAUUUGACUGUACUGUUGGCAUCAGAUUUACACAUUCUAUUUCAAAUAAAUUAAUUGUUUGUCAACAUUUUUAUUACACCAUAGCUUAGAACCUGACUGGUUCUUUCUAUGAAAAUCUUUCACUUCACAUAUAGUUUGUUUAGAUAAGUUUGUGAUAUCUGAAUUUAAACAAUAUAUAUAAAUAUAUUAUUAUGGAAUAUAAAAAUGUUUUCAAUUGUGUAUUAUCCUUUUGUUUGGGAAUCAUAUGCUCCAUAAGGGAAUGUCAGUAUCAAGUCUAACAGUCUAUGAAUAAAUUUAUUUAUAGUAAUUAAGUAGAAAUUAUUAGUGAACAUUAAUAUGAUAAAAAUAUCAAUUGGGUAUAUAUACUGGAUUUAAAUAGAAUGAGUGCAGGUAGUUUGGAAUUAUUUUUUCCAGUAUAUUAUUUAAGUCAUGACAAAUUUUCAUUGUAUAUGUUUAUUAAGUUGAAAUUAUUUUUAAUUUGCAUUUGCCAUACCUGUAUUUUACAGGAGGAAACAAUGCCACCAAUACUCACAAUAAUAUCCACGAUAUGCAUGCCUGUAACAAUUUGAUGGCAGAUCUACUCAUUGGCGACAUGAUUUAUCCAAUAGGGUUGUGUAAAGAUUACAAAAAGAUGACGUGCAAACUAAUGACUGCUUUAUUUACUGAACAAGAAAUGAUCAAUAGUCAUGUGACGGGCAAAAGACUUGGGUUAAAAAGUGGAGAGACAAGGGCUGUUUUGAACCAGGAUAAAGUUAACUUAAUUGUCGAUUUAGUGAAAUCACAUUUUUCAUUUGCCACUGAACCUCAAAUCAGGAGAAAAAUGAGCCAAAAAUGCAAGGAUUUGAGAAUAGCAAAAAGCAAGCGAAUUAAAAGAAACAACACAACAGUGUUUCUCUAAAUUUAAGUUCUCUGUAAUUGUAUUUCACAAACAAUUAUUUUUAUGUUUGUACUUUUUUUUUCUCCAAGUAUGUAAGCUAUUUGAUAUUAUUAUUAUAUUAGACUUUAAAAUAUAUCGCUAAUAAAUAUGUAUUUAUUGGUAUAAGAAACUUAAAAAUCUUCUAAAAAAUCAAGAAGAUGCAAAUUGAGCAAAACAUUUGCUUUCUAACAAGAACAGAAACAAUACGUAUACAUCAAAAACAUAUUGAGUAUAUAUUUACUGUGUUACUUCAUUACUAGUCAAUAUAAGUGUUAUUUUAUUUUCUCUUAAUAAUUGGAAUGUAUUAGUUUAAUAAGAUAAAAGCUUAAAUAAUAUCAUUAAUUUGUUGUAUGAAACAAUUGUUCUGGAUAAAUAACUCCAAAAUUAUGAAACUUUAGAAGUUAGCCUUUUGUGAAGUCUUUUUUUUUUCAUUUUUAUAUCUGUAAUUUAUUCUUUUGAGGGGGGGUGGUGGAAUAAAACGUUUAAGAAAUCAAAU